GACGAACGCUGGCGGCGUGCUUAACACAUGCAAGUCGAACGGAAAGGCCCUGCUUUUGUGGGGUGCUCGAGUGGCGAACGGGUGAGUAACACGUGAGUAACCUGCCCUUGACUUUGGGAUAACUUCAGGAAACUGGGGCUAAUACCGGAUAGGAGCUCCUGCUGCAUGGUGGGGGUUGGAAAGUUUCGGCGGUUGGGGAUGGACUCGCGGCUUAGCAGCUUGUUGGUGGGGUAGUGGCUUACCAAGGCUUUGACGGGUAGCCGGCCUGAGAGGGUGACCGGCCACAUUGGGACUGAGAUACGGCCCAGACUCCUACGGGAGGCAGCAGUGGGGAAUAUUGCACGAUGGGCGGAAGCCUGAUGCAGCAACGCCGCGUGCGGGAUGACGGCCUUCGGGUUGUAAACCGCUUUCGCCUGUGACGAAGCGUGAGUGACGGUAAUGGGUAAAGAAGCACCGGCUAACUACGUG
rnacentral:rRNA from 1 species